AGGUAGAAGGUGGGUGGGUGGGUAAUUCUGUCACAGAUGAGUUGGUCCCCUGAACUUAGCUACCAGCUCAUGUCCAGGGGACCUUAGUAUCUGAGACCAAGACAUUUUACUACAGUCAUGUCUUUUGCAGGGAGCUAAGAUCACCAGGAAUCAUCUGCCAUUUCAGACCCUUUGCUGCUUCCUGCCAGGUGGCCCCCACUGCCAAGAAGAAAUGGUGGAUUUCCCAGUCUUGCCAGACUUCUCCCAGCAAGUACCUCUGUCCAACAAUCUCUUCUUAUUCACACAUCUCCUUCUUCUUCUUUGGCCUGGAGAGGUGAACUCAGAGGAGGUCAGUGUGGUAGGCCCUGGGGAAUCCAUCCUGGCACUUGUGGGGGAAGAAGUGGAGUUCUCAUGCCACUUGUCACCAUACCUGGAUGCUGAGGAUAUGGAGAUCCGCUGGUUCCGGAGUCGGACCUCUGAAGUGGUCCACCUGUACCAGGGGCGGCAGGAGCUCUACAGCCAGCAGAUGGUGCAGUUCCAGAACAGGACCAAACUCCUCAAAGAUGAUAUCAUGGAUGGUAGUGUAAACCUGCAACUCCUUGGCAUCAUUCCUGCUGAUGAGGGCCUGUAUGGGUGCCGUUUCCUCUCCAGCAACUUCUCUAGGGAAGCAGUCUGGGAGCUGGAGGUAGCAGGGAUGGGCUCAGACCCUCACAUCUCCCUUGAGGGCUUCAAGGAGGGAGGCAUUCAGCUGAAGUGCAGUUCCAGUGGCUGGUACCCCAAGCCCCAGGCUCAGUGGAAAGAUCAUAAAGGACAGUGCCUGCCUCCAAAGAUGGAAGCCAUAGUCCAGGAUGCCCAGGGCCUGUUCAAUCUGGAAACAUCUGUGAUUGUUCAAGGGGGUGCCCACAGUAAUGUGUCCUGCUCCAUCCAGAACUCUCUCCUGAUACAGAAGAAAGAGUUCACCAUCCAGAUAGCAGAUGCAUUUUUACCCGGAACCUCACCCUGGAAGAGAGCUUUCCUUGGGUCUCUGGUGGGACUGCCAUUCCUCCUGGCUUUUCUCUUGACGCUGGCGCUGUACUUCUUUCAGAAGCAACGUAGGUCCCAAGAAAAGUUGAAGGAGCAGGCUGAGAAGGACAAAGGGAGACUCACAGAAGAGCUGGGGAAGCUUCAGACAGAGCUUGACUGGAGAAGGGCUGAAGGCCAGGCUGAGUGGAGAGCAGCCCAACAAUAUGCAGUGCAUGUAACCCUUGAUCCGGCCUCGGCGCACCGCAGCCUGGAGGUCUCCGAGGAUGGCAAGAGCGUGUCCUCUUGCGCAGCAGUGUCCGGCUCUGUGGCGGGGGACCAGCAGCGGUUCUCUGAGCAGACGUGCGUGCUGAGCUGUGAGCGCUUCUCAGCUGGCCGACACUACUGGGAAGUGUAUGUGGGACGGCGCAGCCGCUGGUUCCUGGGUGUGUGUCUGGCUGCAGUUCCCCGCUUGGGACCAGUGCGCCUAAGCCCGGCCAGCGGUUACUGGGUGAUGGGGCUGUGGAACCACUGUGAGUACUUCGUCCUGGACCCACACCGCAUCCCACUCACCCUGCGCGUGCCGCCCCGGCGUGUGGGCAUCUUCCUGGACUGGGAGGCAGGAAAACUGUCCUUCUUCAACGUGUCCGACGGCUCCCACAUCUUCACCUUUACCGACACCUUCUCAGGCACGCUCUGUGCGUAUUUCAGGCCCAGAGCUCACGACGGUGGUGAACACCCGGAUCCCCUAACCAUCUGUCCAUUGCCUAUUAGGGGGACACAAGACCUGGAAGAGGAUGACCGUGACACUUGGUUACAGCCCUAUGAGCCCACAGAUCCCACCCUGGGCCUAUGA
rnacentral:lncRNA from 1 species